rnacentral:lncRNA from 1 species
GAACCUGAUAUUUAUAUAAUAUAAUAUAUUUAUUAUAUAUAAUAUAAUAUAUUUAUUACAAACAAAUUAUUGUAUGCACCAUGUGCACGGCCAUGAUCGCCCUAAGAUGAGUGCGGGGAUAACUCUGGGGAUUGGUGGAAUGCACCAGCAUUUGGCGGUGCACGCAAUAAUUUUUCUUCCCCAUGUCAUCGCCUCCAUCCAUUUCCGUCUCUCUCCCUCCGUUCGUCCAUGCCAAUCAGGCGAUCGAAGACGAGCCUGAUCUGGUGGCCAUGGGCUGUGACCGCCUCCGUCUCAUCAUGCAGUGAUGCCUUCCUCCUCCUCGCCCUCCUCUCCAUCCUCUCCAUCCUCACCCAUGAGCUCUUGCGCCGCUUCACCUUCGUCGCUGCUGACUUCGAGGGCUUUGAUGUUAAUAGCCUUGACAACGCCGACAACAACUCC